UACGAAGGGGGCUAGCGUUGUUCGGAAUUACUGGGCGUAAAGGGCGCGUAGGCGGUGUGUCAAGUCAGGCGUGAAAGCCCCGGGCUCAACCUGGGAACAGCGCUUGAGACUGGCACGCUCGAGUUCGGGAGAGGAUGGUGGAAUUCCCAGUGUAGAGGUGAAAUUCGUAGAUAUUGGGAAGAACACCGAUGGCGAAGGCAGCCAUCUGGACCGACACUGACGCUGAAGCGCGAAAGCUAGGGGAGCAAACGGG
rnacentral:rRNA from 1 species